rnacentral:misc_RNA from 1 species
UGAAUUCUGUGCUCUUCGAUGCAUGCAGUGUGACGAAAAUGGACUGCUACGAUGCGACUUGUGUCUUGACCAACAGGAGUGACGUCACGAGUUUUUAAAAUUCGUCCUUUUCGCGAUAUAUAUUAUUAAAUAGGACAGUAAGAAGUCCCUUUAUGCCAAAGAUUUGUUAUUUUGUGAAGGCUCAUUUAUUUUUAUAAUUCACAGUUGGAAAUAUUACUGUGAACAAAUUGAUCAUGAACGUGCUACAAUUUUACGCAUGUCUUUCUACACGUCAUUAUGAGAAAAUGUGUUCGUGGAUGACUUUGAAGAACCUUCAUGUUAAUGUUAUAAAAUCGUUGUCUAUGUCAACCUGCCACAUGAUUAGCAUAUAUUCAAUGUACUAUUUGAAAAUAAUUGUAGAAAUUAUGAAGAAAAUGGUUUACAAAUAUUGUUUGCUAUAUGUGCAUUGCAUAGACUGCUAUAUAUCCAAAAGUGAAUUGACUUGUUAAAAGAUGUCGCAAAUAUCUGUACAAAUGAUAUCUUGUUAUACCUGUAUUAUUGCAUUUUAUUGUUCAAAAUAUUGAGAAGAAUGACUGCAUAUAUUUAUUUAAUGAAUGAAACGGUACACAUUAUUUCAUGAACAGUCAACACUCCCACACAAAAUACAAAAAUGGGGUAACGAAAUGUAAACUUAAGAAACGUUAUAAUAAAUUUUUGGUGGGAAAGAAUUUUUGCGAAUUGCGACCAAGUGGUCACGUUUGAAUAAGUUUUGCAAAUGUAAAGUAGUACCAACAGUAUCAAUUUUCUGGAGCGUUGGCAAAGUCUUUUCCCUCCGAAUAAUUAAUUUUAAAAAAAUAGGUCUCCUGGAUUCGCAAAAAUUUCCACCCAUCCAACAUUUCCGCGUUUACAUUUCUUCCCCAUGUUUAAUCAUUCAAACUUCUUAUAGAAUUCUGAGUCAAUGUUUGUUUGUCAUGAACAUAUCUACAAAAAUAUACGCAUUUGUUUAUUUCUUUUUUUAAUUUCAUUGUAUGAUUGUUUUAAAUAUUUAUCUAGUCGCCAAUGUGUGCAAUGAUUGAUGUAAUACGAUGAAAUAAAUUGAUACGUUCUUGUGAUUUCAAAACGUGUAUAU